rnacentral:lncRNA from 1 species
UUUGCUUAAUUCCUACUUCCCUUCAUCACUCAGCUUGGGUAUAGUGUCUUCCAGGAAGCUUUUGCUGUGUAUCAUUCCCAGAACCCUACGCCAGGUCAGGUGAGGUCAGGCCAGGUCAGGCCAGGCAGCUCUCAUCACACAGGUACAUGCUGUUGGCUGCCCUCGACACAUUAUAUUAAAGGCACCUGGUGAUAUAUCUGUCUCCACCAUUAAGUUAUAUAUUCCUUAAGGACCUGGAACCGAGUUUUAUUCCUCCUUCUAUCUCCAGUGGCUAGUAUAUGGAGUUAUUAAAUAAAUGUUGAAAUGAAUAAGGCUUGUUAUUCACAGAGUCUAGUGUAGUAUGUGAGUUAGUGUUCAAUAGCUGUUAAAAUUUGUAGAUUUGUAAAUUUUUGCAUAAUAUAAGAAAGAGCUCUCUUGUAAGGAAGCAACAUCUCAUCAGUAAUGUUAUAUCGGAAUCUGACAUCUGCUUGUUAGGGACAGUGUGGGGGUGGAUUGGAGAAGUUCAAGGUAGAUUAAUUUCUGCUGUUUCCUACUCUAAGAUUCUAUGGGUCGUAGCACAUUCAAAGUUCAAGGAUGUUACAAUCAACUGAUUAGUCAGUAUCUUUCAUAUUGAGAACAGUAUUAAGAAAGCAUGUAACAAACAAAACACUUGCAAGAGUGGAGUAAAGUGAAUCAUCUCUCCUUGCUCCUGCUUGGCCCAGCUUCCAUCACAGCCCUCCACUGCUCUUUAGCCCACUGCAUCUUUCUAUUUCAGCCUUUGGUGGGCUUCUUCGAGCCCCUGAAAUGCUGAUAUUCUCCUCUGUUCAAUGCUCCUCUGUCCCUGCUCCUUCAAGAGAUUCUCAGCCAUUCUUCUGGCUUCAACUGACACUUACACAUUGGCAAUUCCUUAACCUAAUGCCAAUCCCAAAUAUCCAAGCCUUUAUUUGCAUAUCCCACAAGCACCUCAAACGCAGCAUUCCCUAAACUGAACUUUCAUCUCUCCCUCAAACUGUUCCCUCCUUAUUUUGGUCCCAAUUUUGUGAAUGGGAGCAUCAUUUGUUUAACUUAUUUCUUUUCCCUCAUAUGCUACACCAAAUUAAGGUCAAAGCUCAUUGAUUCUAUCUCUAAUGUUUUAAUUUCCUUACAGCCUUAUUAUGCCAGGGGUCGUAAACUGGUGAUCCUUUGGCUGGAUCUGGCUCGUAGACAAGUUUAGUUUAAAAUUUGAAUGUGAAUGCAUUCAGGUAGGCAUUUCUCUC